rnacentral:rRNA from 1 species
CCACCGGAAAAAGAAGAGUGGCGAACGGGUGAGUAACACGUGGGUAACCUGCCCAUCAGAAGGGGAUAACACUUGGAAACAGGUGCUAAUACCGUAUAACAAUCGAAACCGCAUGGUUUUGAUUUGAAAGGCGCUUUCGGGUGUCGCUGAUGGAUGGACCCGCGGUGCAUUAGCUAGUUGGUGAGGUAACGGCUCACCAAGGCCACGAUGCAUAGCCGACCUGAGAGGGUGAUCGGCCACAUUGGGACUGAGACACGGCCCAAACUCCUACGGGAGGCAGCAGUAGGGAAUCUUCGGCAAUGGACGAAAGUCUGACCGAGCAACGCCGCGUGAGUGAAGAAGGUUUUCGGAUCGUAAAACUCUGUUGUUAGAGAAGAACAAGGAUGAGAGUAACUGUUCAUCCCUUGACGGUAUCUAACCAGAAAGCCACGGCUAACUACGUGCCAGCAGCCGCGGUAAUACGUAGGUGGCAAGCGUUGUCCGGAUUUAUUGGGCGUAAAGCGAGCGCAGGCGGUUUCUUAAGUCUGAUGUGAAAGCCCCCGGCUCAACCGGGGAGGGUCAUUGGAAACUGGGAGACUUGAGUGCAGAAGAGGAGAGUGGAAUUCCAUGUGUAGCGGUGAAAUGCGUAGAUAUAUGGAGGAACACCAGUGGCGAAGGCGGCUCUCUGGUCUGUAACUGACGCUGAGGCUCGAAAGCGUGGGGAGCAAACAGGAUUAGAUACCCUGGUAGUCCACGCCGUAAACGAUGAGUGCUAAGUGUUGGAGGGUUUCCGCCCUUCAGUGCUGCAGCUAACGCAUUAAGCACUCCGCCUGGGGAGUACGACCGCAAGGUUGAAACUCAAAGGAAUUGACGGGGGCCCGCACAAGCGGUGGAGCAUGUGGUUUAAUUCGAAGCAACGCGAAGAACCUUACCAGGUCUUGACAUCCUUUGACCACUCUAGAGAUAGAGCUUCCCCUUCGGGGGCAAAGUGACAGGUGGUGCAUGGUUGUCGUCAGCUCGUGUCGUGAGAUGUUGGGUUAAGUCCCGCAACGAGCGCAACCCUUAUUGUUAGUUGCCAUCAUUCAGUUGGGCACUCUAGCAAGACUGCCGGUGACAAACCGGAGGAAGGUGGGGAUGACGUCAAAUCAUCAUGCCCCUUAUGACCUGGGCUACACACGUGCUACAAUGGGAAGUACAACGAGUUGCGAAGUCGCGAGGCUAAGCUAAUCUCUUAAAGCUUCUCUCAGUUCGGAUUGCAGGCUGCAACUCGCCUGCAUGAAGCCGGAAUCGCUAGUAAUCGC